AAACCUAAGUUCUGUCGAAGGUUGUUCUCCUUCGUGUUUUCCCUCGACGCGCGAUACAGCCUUCUCCAGGUUUCCACCGAAAGGUUUUUCUCCUUCGCAUUUUCUCUUAGACGCACAAUGGAAGCCUUCUCCUUCGCGUGCCACCCCGGACAAUAGCCUUCUCCUUCAUGUUUUCCCCUAGAUGGCAGUCUUCUCAUUUUUCCUCGAUGCAAAACCUUCGCGUUGAGAUGCUUCACUUCCUCUUCUCUCGGCACGCUAGGUUUCUUCCCUCUCUACCCCCUUCUUUCCUUUCCUCUCUACUUCACUGCCACUUAACUUGAAUCACUGCUGCCUGAGGAACCUGCCUCUUUCUACCCCCAGCCCCUUGGAGCAUUGAAUUCGAGGGUUUUCAUCGGUUAUUCCAUUUACAAAGGGAAGGCAGCACUCAUAGUGGAUCCACGAGCCCCUGAAUUCACCCCUCUUGAAUUUGGAGCUUACAAAGUCUCUAAGGAAGGAUUUACUCUCCUCCAAUUUGCUCCUGCUGUAAGUACUCAACAAUAUGAUUGGAGCAGAAAGCAAGUAUGCCAAAUUGUUUCUUUUUAUCCUUCUCUGUGUGUGAUUGUAAUGUCAUGACUCUUAGAUAAUUGCAAUCCUUCCCUUCUUAUCACAAGUCGUGCAAAAAAUGAAUUAAAAGGGCUUUUCUAUUAUCUUUCUAAUGAUACUUGCCACUAGAGCCUCAGUCAGACUGUUAGUGACCCAUUGGAGCUAUUUAUUUAAUUUUAUAUAUAUAAAAAAAGAAGUUGUCAUUAACGAUGCUAAAAUUUGAGCCUUUGAUCUCAUUAUAAGCAAAAUAAUCCUUUACAAACAUAGAAAUUUGAUACAUAUGACACAGUGAUGUAUGAAACCAUCCCUGGUAAAAGAAUGGUUAUGUGCAACAUGGAUAUGUAAAAACCAUAGUUCAUGUUAUUUCUUCUAAGUUUUGCACAUGGUUAGUGAAGAAUCAUGUAUUGAUGAAUCAUAAUUCUAGACAAUUUUAUGACACAUUGGUGUCCAAAAGUCCUAAUGUUCAUAGAGAAAUAUAAUGAGACAUCACUAGUUGCAUUCAUAUAGUUUUCUAUUAGUUUUGAUACUUGGAGAGUGUAAAAUUAUAUUUUGUCAGAACAUAGUUCCUAUGGUGUUCAAACAUUCUAAAUUUUAGAGAUAUAAUGGAACAAUAUCAUUUGACAAAAUAUGGUUCUGCACUUUGAAAUGUCACAACUCAAACAAAACAACAUGAGUGAAACUAAUGACAAGAGAGUGACUCUGUUUAGACUUUUGGCGGCUUCCAAUGGACACUACUCCACUGAAGCCUGAUGGUUGAUAAGACUCCAACCAACACCUUGUAGAGUCCAACGAAGGGGUAUGGAUAUCUUUAUAAGAAAAAAUUGGAAAAGGUCAUCUAUAAGGCAUUUUGCAAAAUUGAGACCUUUAUAAGGCUUUUUGAAUUAAAAGGAACCUAGAACUUUUUCCAAUAAAGUUUUGAGUCCAGUAGGACUUCACUAUUUUUUUUUAAAAAAAAACAUAUUCAAUUAACCCGUGUUGAAAUUUAGUUGAAUGAUUUUGGAAGAUUGAUCCUUCAUUAUUGAAUUAAUGAUAAAAUUAAGCUUGUAUGCUACAAAUAUCAUAGCCAAUGAUGCUCCAUUAUGAUUAUUGCUAGCAUGCUUUGUUCAUAUAAUUAGUUGGUCAAUGCACAAUUAGUUUGUUCAUACAACUUAUUGAAUCCUUAAUUCUGAACAUGUUUCUAUCCCUUCUGCUGGCAAGUUCCAUGUUCUCUUUGGCAUCUUUGUUUGCUUUCUUAUGGUAUUUUAUACAAACAUAUGUCAAUUUUUUUUUCAUUAUUGAUGCAGGUCAUUUCUUUGUUCAUAUCUUAAAUUAGCCAUCUAAUGAGUUUCAGUGCAAAGGAUUCUUGUGAAUUUUUUCAUGAUGCAUUCAAGGGAAGAAAGUAAUAUUUUGAACCUUGAUCAGAAAUUUGUUCUAUGCAUCAAAAUCAUUGUGUAGUUUAUCUUGGUUCUUGAAUAGGGAUGUGAUAACAAUUCUAAAAUGUUUUUUUUUUAGUUUUUAACACCAUUUUAUGUGUCUUGUUAUAUAUGAUUUUCUCUAAUGCGCAGCUUUAUUUGAUCAAACAAUAUUUGUUAGUGAGUGUAUCUUCAUAUUCAUGCACUUGCAUAUUCCACUAAUUAGUUUCUUGAUAUUUAUGAGUGUAGGUAACGAUAUCCUAGCUUAACAUCAUAAUUCAUGAGAAUCUAUAAGACUAUUCCAACUGUAACUCAUUCAGUGUCUUUGCUUAAGUGCAACCUUUAUUAUUAUUAUUAUUAUUAUUAUUAUUAUUAUUAUUAUUAUUAUUAUUUUACAGCAAGGAAGGCAAGAUAAGGAAGAUUUUAAAGGUUGAACCUCUUCCAGAUGGCAUCUGAUAUUUCUUUAAUCUCAAUAAUUCAUUAGUUUCUUAUAUUUUGAAUUUAAACAGGAUUUUUUUUUCCAUAUGAUGUAAUCUAU